GUGUGUCCCUUUUGUGAUGUAUGCGUACAUACACACGGCUUUAUGUAUGUAUAUGUGUGCAUGUGUGUGGUGUGUGUUCGUCCAUUGGUUGUCCUCCAUCAGGUCCCCUGGUGAGACACCCAGUAGGAGUUCACAGCGUCAAGGCAGCUGCUGUAGCUCCCGUAGUGCCUCCCUGUCCUCCACUCGGAGCACCUCCAAAUCUCCUGCCAGACUGAACUCCAAGCACAAGACCGAUGGACAAAAGGCGUCCGGCACCUCGCUGUCCCCGGGCACCAACACCCCCGCUGCGUGGCACAACGGGGACCACACCCAGCGAAGCCGCAACGGCAAGGCCGGCAGACUCAACCACGGCGAGGGCGAGAAAGGGCACGAUAAGCUCCGUCUGCUGACCGCUAGCUCUGCAAGCAUCCAGUCCACUCUGCUGAGAGAGCACAAGCUCCACAGCGCCCCCAGCAGGAGCCACACGGGGCAGAUGUGCGCGGCAGGAGAGGCUGGGAGUGUGGAUGGCAGGAACACGGCUGUAGGGAACUCCAUCACCCAGAUGUCAGGGAGGAGAGGGAGCCAGAGGGGCCAGAAUAAGACCUCCCACUCCCCCGCUCACAGCAGCGACUCGGCCCACUCCCAGCAUAACCACACUCACAGAGGGAGGAGCUCUCGCCACCAGAGAAAGACAAAAGGUGGCCACUCUUCCAAGCGUCACCACCGCUCCAGUCGGGGUCAGGCACACCACCGGAGCCAGUCGGCUUCUCCAGGGCGCCACCCACACACAUCGGGCAGGAAGAAAGAGGAGUCUCGGAACAAACCCAACCUCCGGCAGCGCAGCAGCUCCUGGAGCAGCGGGCACUCGUCCUCACGCUCCGCCUCCAGAGACAGAGGCCCCAGCAAGGCCAAGUCUCCACACAACAGACAGAACACCUCCAGAGAGAAGGACAGCCCUAACCGCUCCGACACCGACAGCCGAGCUCGCCGCCGCUCACGCAGCUACUCGCCCAUUCGCAAAAGGAGAAGAGAUUCACCCAGCUUCAUGGAGGCUCGCAGGAUCACCAGUGCUCGGAAGAGGCCCAUCCCGUACUACCGGCCCAGUCCUUCGUCUUCCAGCUACGACAGCAGCCCGUCACGCUCCAGCCGCAGCCGUAGCCGCAGCUACAGCAGCUACAGCCGCAGCAGAAGCCACAGCAGAAGCCACAACCGGAGCCACAGCAGAAGCCGGAGCCGCAGCCGCAGCUGGAGUCGGAGCCGCAGCCGGAGCUGGAGCCACAGCAAGAGCCGCUCCCGCAGUCACAACAGUUACUACAGCCGCAGCAGCUAUGAAAGCCCCGGCUUCUGAACCACAGUCACACAGCACAGAAGGGAAGCAAAAACAAACAAAGGAGAAGUCGUGAUCUUUACCAAGCCCUCCACAGUGCCCGCACUGCUGUAAAUUCCAGGGCCCAAACUCCUCCACCCUGGACCAUCAUCUCUCUCUAAUACAGAGCCUGGAUCAAAGAGGAGAAAUGAAUUUUGAUAUAGCACAUUAAUAGAAAAUUGGCUGUCACUGUUCACGUCUUCACGUCAACAAUGCAUUAAAGGAAAUGGGUUACCACAUGUCAAAAAUUAAUUUGGUAGAGCCCAAAGAACAAAUCUUGCUGUAUUGUAUGUUAGCACUUUCUUUCUCUUCUUCCACAACGCAACCAAAAAUGAAUUCAUUAAGAACUAUAUACUAUAUACAUAUAUAUAUAUCCUAACAAUAGGAGCUGAGUAGAAGACAAGAAGAGGACGCAUCAACAGCUUACAUUUCAUAAAAUCUAACUUUCUUUCCCCUCAUCAUGUACUCAUCUGCCCCAAAGACUUCCAUCUAAUCGAGGCACAGAGAUCAACACAAGUUAGAACAAAGGAGAAGUCGGCGGAUGAAAUAGGGAGCAAAAAAAGAAAAGGAACGUUUUUUUAUGAUAAAAAUUGUAUUUAUAGGUUUGUCUAUAUAGAUGUAAACUCUCUUAAGUUCUGGCUUUGUAAACUAUGCACUGUAUAUUCCAUCUAGUUUGAGGAGCUUUGUUAAGCAUGAUGCAUCAGGAGAGACUUGCUGCUGCAAGGAGAGAACCUGGCAGACAUGAAGGGUGCAUCUGUGCUCCCACUGGCCUAUACAGUAUGUCAGCCAGCUGCAUUCAGAGGUGAACAGGACGGGGCGACUAUUUAUUAUGUACUUUUACUCUUCUCUGUUUGAAUUAUUAUGUUGAUUCUGCUAAUCCUGACUAUGUGAGAGGGUGUGUGUCUGCGUGCGUGUGUGUGUGUGUGUGUGUGUGUGUGUGUGUGUGUGUGUGUGUUAGUACCUCCUCUGCAAUGACCAGUGAGGUAAUUAUUUAAGUGUACACUAAGGCUGCUGUAUGGUAAUGUGCAGGUAACUGUUUACCAUACACACAUUUGUGUUGACCACAGCUAUUUAUGAACCUACUGUAUUUAUUUGUUUAUUUAUUGGGUUAUUUAUUAUUUUAUUUAUUUGCCAUGAGCUGUAAAGCAGUUGGGUCAUGCUUUGAAGAUGAGAUUGUGAUGCAAAUGUAUUCCCUGUACUGUAUACGUCCACGUCUCUUAUUGUGGCGAAGGCUCGCUGUGUCUAUCAGGGUGAAGAUUCACUGCCGUGUGUUAAAUAUGCUCUGAUUGUAGCCAGUGGAACAGAAUCAGUCCUCGCCCACUCCCACGACUGCCACUAUGGCACCCCCGGCCUAUUGUAGUGGUUCAUUUUAAUGCAAGCCAUCGGGGCUCUGCCUGUACUGAGGAAGGAUCAGCCUCCAACUGAACCAAACAUCUCCCUGUGUGAAGAGAAGAAUCCAUUAUUCUACUCUGCUCUGUUUCCAGUCACCACAUAUUCUAAUCCCUUGUAUAAUGGGCCGCAACAUGUUUCUGUCAGAGGUCCCCUUGUUGCCAUCUUCAGGAGGAGAAUAUAUGUGAUGUAAGCUAGCAUAGCAGAGCCGCGACACACAGCUUCAGUAGUACGGUGAACAAACUGGCGAUACAAUCAGGGAUCACCCUAAGUCUUCCUUACCAUUCAUCCAGCCUCAUGUCACUCACAGUGUUGCAUUUCCAGUGUAACCAGUCUUAACCCAACUAUGAUACUCUGCAAACAUGUUCAUUUAUUCCAAGUAUAGCAUUGCCCCUUUGGUUCUACAAGUCAUUCUUUGUAGUGUACAAGUUAUUAUACCUGACAAUAAACGGAAACAAAUGGGGAAAUAAUGAUACUGUGGUGUUGUUGUUUUUCUUUCUAACUGCAGGUGCAGUCACAUGAUGUCAUGACAUGAAUCAGUUU
ensembl:lncRNA